UACAGAGGGUGCGAGCGUUAAUCGGAAUUACUGGGCGUAAAGCGCACGUAGGUGGCUUGGCAAGUCGGGUGUGAAAUCCCCCGGGCUCAACCUGGGAACUGCAUCGAGACUGCCUUGCUCGAGUAUGGGAGAGGGAAGUGGAAUUUCCGGUGUAGCGGUGAAAUGCGUAGAUAUCGGAAGGAACAUCAGGUGGCGAAGGCGGCCACCUGGACGGUAACUGACGCUGAAGACGCGGAAAGCGUGGGGAGCAAACAGGAU
rnacentral:rRNA from 1 species